rnacentral:rRNA from 1 species
AGUGAACGCUGGCGGUAGGCCUAACACAUGCAAGUCGAGCGGCAGCACAGUAAGAGCUUGCUCUUACGGGUGGCGAGUGGCGGACGGGUGAGGAAUACAUCGGAAUCUACUUUUUCGUGGGGGAUAACGUAGGGAAACUUACGCUAAUACCGCAUACGACCUACGGGUGAAAGCAGGGGAUCUUCGGACCUUGCGCGAUUGAAUGAGCCGAUGUCGGAUUAGCUAGUUGGCGGGGUAAAGGCCCACCAAGGCGACGAUCCGUAGCUGGUCUGAGAGGAUGAUCAGCCACACUGGAACUGAGACACGGUCCAGACUCCUACGGGAGGCAGCAGUGGGGAAUAUUGGACAAUGGGCGCAAGCCUGAUCCAGCCAUACCGCGUGAGUGAAGAAGGCCUUCGGGUUGUAGAGCCCUUUUGUUGGGAAAGAAAAGCAGCAGGUUAAUACCCCGCUGUUCUGACGGUACCCAAAGAAUAAGCACCGGCUAACUUCGUG